AUUGAACGCUGGCGGCAGGCCUAACACAUGCAAGUCGAGCGGAGCGGCGGACGGGUGAGUAAUGCCUAGGAAACUGCCUGCUAGAGGGGGAUAACGCCCGGAAAAGGGCGCUAAUACCGCAUACUAUCAGAUGAGCCCAGGACGGAUUAGCUAGUUGGUGGGGUAAAGGCCAACCAAGGCGACGAUCCGUAACUGGUCUGAGAGGAUGAUCAGUCACACGGGAACUGAGACACGGUCCAGACUCCUACGGGAGGCAGCAGUGGGGAAUAUUGGACAAUGGGCGAAAGCCUGAUCCAGCCAUGCCGCGUGUGUGAAGAAGGUCUUCGGAUUGUAAAGCACUUUAAGUUGGGAGGCGUUACCAACAGAAUAAGCACCGGCUAACUUCGUGCCAGCAGCCGCGGUAAUAC
rnacentral:rRNA from 1 species